rnacentral:rRNA from 1 species
AUUGAACGCUGGCGGCAGGCCUAACACAUGCAAGUCGAGCGGAUGAAGGGUGCUUGCUCCUGGAUUCAGCGGCGGACGGGUGAGUAAUGCCCAGGAAUCUGCCUGGUAGUGGGUGAUUACGUCCGGAAACGGGCGCUAAUACCGCAUACGCCCUGAGGGAGAAAGUGGGGGAUCUUCGGACCUCACGCUAUCAGAUGAGCCUAGGUCGGAUUAGCUAGUUGGUGGGGUAAAGGCCUACCAAGGCGACGAUCCGUAACUGGUCUGAGAGGAUGAUCAGUCACACUGGAACUUCGACACGGUCCAGAGUCCUACGGGAGGCAGCAGUGGGGAAUAUUAGACAGUGGGCGAAAGCCUGAUCCAACCAUGCCGCGUGUGUGAAGAAGGUCUUCGGAUUGUAAAGCACUUUAAGUUGGGAGGAAGGGCAGUAAGUUAGUACGUUGCUGUUUUGACGUUACCAACAGAAUAAGCACCGGCUAACUACGUG